rnacentral:rRNA from 1 species
CGUGUAGGCGGACUCGCAAGUCGGUUGUGAAACCCCUGGGCUCAACCUAGGAACUGCAUCCGAAACUGCUUGUCUUGAGUAAUGGAGAGGGUGGCGGAAUUCCCGGUGUAGAGGUGAAAUUCGUAGAUAUCGGGAGGAACAUCAGUGGCGAAGGCGGCCACCUGGACAUUUACUGACGCUGAGACGCGAAAGCGUGGGGAGCAAACA